rnacentral:lncRNA from 10 species
UCAUCUGAAAUAUGGGCUUAAAUCCUCCUGCCUCAUAAGGUUGAUGAAAGGAUUAAAUGAGGUGAUGCAAAGAAAGCCCAUUUCCUGGUACAUAAGUUCCUGGUACAGAGUCUCACUCUGUCAUCGCCCGUAGUGGAGUACAGCAGCCUGAUCAUGGCUCACUGUAGCCUCCACCUCCCAGGCUCAAGUGAUCCUCCUGUCUCAGCCUCCUGAGUAGCUGGGACUACAAGUGUG